AAUUGGCACGGUUGUUCAGUGGCAGUUGCGCGUGCGCCGGGUCCGCCGCUGCUAUCAGUGUCGUAUCUAACGAUCGUUCGGAAGUGAAGUGAUCAAAGUUUCUAUAUAUACUGUGUUUAUAAUUAUUGUUAAUCAUACAAUAAGGGAAAUAAUUUAGCAGAUGGACGCAGUGAUAUGUAAGCGAGGCGAGAACCCGCACGUGCCUGUGACUCGCGCGCCAAAAAUCAUAAUGGCGAACUUUGACAAGUGAUGCCAACACAAAAAAACUUAUUUGAUUAGUAUUGAAAUAGAAACCUUAUCGAAUUAUUUAUUAAAAUUUAGAUGUCAUAGUGAUUUUGGAUAAGAUAUGUGAAUAAAGUGUCUGUGAACGCGUGUCGCGUUUAAAGUGCAGUGAUGACUUCUAGUGGCCUUUCCUGUUAGUAACCAUGGGCAUACAGGUGGAAAAUAAUGUAAAUUAUAGCAACACAUGUAUUUCAGCUUAGUGCCAAAGUACCUUGGACUGGUUCCUUAAAUUACUUUGUAAUAUUAAGCUUACAAAAUAAGAAGAAUUAAAUGUACAACUGGUUAUUGGUCAUUAGUGAUGACGUUUCCGAUCGACCGAUAUAUGACAUAAAACAAAACCGAUUGAAUCAUAAGCACUGACAAUACUUUAAUGUAUUGUAUGUUGUUGCAAUGUUAGUGAUGGGACUUCGAUUGUUAUCGAUCAUUUGCAUUGCUAAUAUUUAUAUCUUUAUAGAGCGUUACUGGCACUUGAACGGUGACGUCAAUAAUGGAAUGUAUGUCGGAUGCCCUUAUGUGCUGGUUCUAUUUGACGCCCCAAUUCGUCCAAAUUGUUACCUUUAGCACUGUGUGUUUUUAUAUUGUUGUUUUCUUUUAUACAAGAAAUCUAAUAUUUUCUCUUUAUUAACAAAUGAGAUGACUGAUGACAUGUUAUAAUAUAUACUU